rnacentral:sRNA from 1 species
AUAAGACGGCGGGUGUUGCAGUCUGUGUCCUUGGAGGUGACCAGGGCCACUGCAGGCAUGGUGCUAGCAGAGCUGUACGUCUCUGACCGAGAGGGAAGCGAUGCCACGGGAGAUGGAACCAAGGAGAAACCAUUUAAAACAGGUCUAAAGGCUUUGAUGACAGUAGGAAAAGAACCAUUUCCUACCAUUUAUGUAGAUUCACAAAAAGAAAAUGAGAGGUGGAAUGUUAUUUCUAAAUCACAGUUGAAGAACAUUAAAAAGAUGUGGCAUAGGGAACAAAUGAAGAGUGAAUCCCGGGAAAAGAAAGAGGUGAGUCCUGACCUUGUCACUGUGAACGUUGUUAAAGUUAGAACUCUGGAAACCAUGUUAACAAACUGCUUCAUCAUUAAAAUUAGGCAGAAGAUAGUUUACGAAGAGAAAAGAACCUGGAAGACGCAAAGAAGAUUACCAUUAAAAACGAUCCAAGUCUCCCAGAGCCAAAAUGUGUGAAGAUUAGUGCAUUAGAAGGAUAUA